GGGCCUGUAGCUCAGCAUGGUUAGAGCGCCCGGCUCAUAACCGGGUGGCCAAGGGUUCGAAUCCCUUCAGGCCCA
rnacentral:tRNA from 1 species